AGGUAAUUAGUCCAAAGAAAGACAUUUGAUUUCGGCUCAAAAGAUCGUGGUUUAAUUCCACAAUUACCUU
rnacentral:tRNA from 1 species